CCUACGGGUGGCAGCAGUCGAGAAUUAUUCACAAUGGGGGAAACCCUGAUGGUGAGACGCCGCGUGGGGGAAUGAAGGUCUUCGGAUUGUAAACCCCUGUCAUGUGGGAGCAAAUUAAAAAGAUAGUACCACAAGAGGAAGAGACGGCUAACUCUGUGCCAGCAGCCGCGGUAAUACAGAGGUCUCAAGCGUUGUUCGGAAUCACUGGGCGUAAGGCGUGCGUAGGCUGUUUCGUAAGUCGUGUGUGAAAGGCGCGGGCUCAACCCGCGGACGGCACAUGAUACUGCGAGACUAGAGUAAUGGAGGGGGAACCGGAAUUCUCGGUGUAGCAGUGAAAUGCGUAGAUAUCGAGAGGAACACUCGUGGCGAAGGCGGGUUCCUGGACAUUAACUGACGCUGAGGCACGAAGGCCAGGGGAGCGAAAGGGAUUAGAUACCCCAGUAGUC
rnacentral:rRNA from 1 species